rnacentral:sRNA from 1 species
UAUUCAGCUCAAGACGUCUCGCUAGGCCAGUUCUUGCGUGACAGCUGCUUCAAUCUUGGUCUCAAGUGCCAAAACCCGUCUUGUAAGAAAUCCGUUCUGGAUCACACUCUCUCCUUUAUCCAUAAUGACA